AUCUAACUGAUGAGUUCAAAAUAAGACGAAACGCGCGUCCUUGAU
rfam:Schistosoma mansoni, Puerto Rico, WGS project CABG01000000 data, contig: 0147